rnacentral:sRNA from 1 species
CCUCUCAGGGCUCAGGGUCUGCCCUCUGAGCCCCAACUUCAACACCUCCCAUGGGAACCCUCCAAAGAAUGAACCAGGAAUGGAAACCAUAGAGCCCAUGACACCCCGGCACCUGAGACCCAGUGAGAAUCAACACUGCCUCUCCAGCCACCAUGCAAGGCUGCAGCCUGGACCCAGUGCCAGCAUCCCAAAUGCAGGCCCUCCAUUUGGGGAGUGGAUGGAGUAGGAGAGAAGGGCUGCAAGGACCCAGAUAGGCAGACAGAGGGACAGAGAGGGAACCAAAGAUCCUACUUGCAAGGUGUCCCCAGAGGCAAAGGUAUCGUCCACUGGGGACAUGGGGACCUGGAGGCAGCACAAGGACAGCUUUGCUCUGGUCGUGGGAGCCCUCUUGCUUCCCACACCCUCAACUUACUCCCCAUUGCUGUCUGUCAUUGAUCCCCAGGUGGGGCAAGUGAGGGACCUGAGUCAGCAUGUGGCUGGCUGCUGGGAGAGGGAGCACCCGCUGAGUCACGGCUCCUCCCCUGGAGCCUCCAUGAGCCAUCUAGGCAGGUGUGCACUGCCCACUGGUGCAGGGCUGUGGGUACCUGCACCUGUCUGUCAACACUGAUUCUUUCUCAUACAACAGGCACUUGCCACCAUUCUGCCCAGCCAGACCCUAUCAGACCACAGUGAGGGGAUGGAGUGGGCCCGCAUAGGUGCCUCCACCUGAGUUUAGGCACCCCAGGCUUGUGUCUGCUGGGACACACCUAGCAGGGAGGCUGAGAGCACCGGCUUCGGAGCCAGGCAGGUCAUAGUGUAAAGCCGGAUUCUUCCACUUAUUUGGGGAAAGUUGCUUCCCCUCUCUGAACCUGUUUCCUCACUGUAAAUUCAGAUUCAUCCUUUAUUGAGCACCUACUAUGUGCCAGGCAUUGGGUUGAGUGCUGGGGAUAAAGUAAUGAGCAAGCCCUUAUUUUGAUGAGGUUGAGUGCUGGGGAUAAAGUAAUGAGCAAGCCCUUAUCUUGAUGAACAGUUAUGGGAUAAAAUAGACCUGCAAAAAUAAA